rnacentral:rRNA from 1 species
AAAAACAUCGCCUCUUGCAAACCCCUAUGUAUAAGAGGUCCUACCUGCCCAGUGACCAUAAGUUAAACGGCCGCGGUAUUCUGACCGUGCUAAGGUAGCGCAAUCACUUGUCUUUUAAAUGAAGACCUGUAUGAAUGGUUAUACGAGGGCUUAACUGUCUCCACCUUCCAGUCAAUGAAAUUGAUCUGCUCGUGCAGAAGCGAACAUUAACAUACAAGACGAGAAGACCCUUUGGAGCUUAAGACAACAAACCACUCAGUUUAAAACCUUUAACAAAAUAAGAUUAAAUAAAACAACCUAAUUUGGUUUAAUGUCUUCGGUUGGGGCGACCGCGGAGGAAAAAUAAGCCUCCGUGCAGAACGGGUUAUCACCUAAAACUAUGAGAGACACCUCUAAGCCACAGAAUAUCUGACUUAAAGAUCCGGCCUUAUAGGCCGACCAGCGAACCAAGUUACCCUAGGGAUAACAGCGCAAUCCUCUUCAAGAGUCCAUAUCGACAAGAGGGUUUACGACCUCGAUGUUGGAUCAGGACAUCCUAAUGGUGCAGCCGCUAUUAAGGGUUCGUUUGUUCAACG